rnacentral:rRNA from 1 species
CAUUCAAAGAGUGCGUAAUAGCUCACUGGUCGAGUGAUCCUGCGCCGAAGAUUUCCGGGGCUAAAACUUACUACCGAAGCUACGGCAUCAGUAAUGAUGGGUAGGGGAGCUUCCCAUACGGGUUGAAGCAUGACCGUAAGGACAUGUGGACAGUAUGGGAGUGAGAAUGUUGGCAUGAGUAGCGAGAUGUGGGGGAGAAUCCCACAGGCCGUAAACCCAAGGUUUCCAGGGGAAGGUUCGUCCGCCCUGGGUUAGUCGGGACCUAAGCUGAGGCCGAAAGGCGUAGGUGAUGGACAACAGGUUGAUAUUCCUGUACUACCGAUAACCGUUUGAGAGAAGGGAUGACACAGUAGGAUAAGCUAAGCACACUGUUGGUUAUGUGUGCCCAAGCAUUGAGGCAGUCAAAGUAGGCAAAUCCGCUUUGAUAAUGCUGGGAUGUGAUGGGGAGCGAAAUUUAGUAGCGAAGUAGCUGAUUUCACACUGUCAAGAAAAGUCUCUAUCGAGGUUAAAGGUACCCGUACCGCAAACCGACACAGGUGGGUGAGGAGAGUAUCCUAAGGCCAGCGAGAGAACUGUUGUUAAGGAACUCGGCAAAAUGACCCCGUAACUUAGGGAUAAGGGGUGCCACCAUCAGGUGGCCGCAGAGAAUAGGCCCAAGCGACUGUUUACCAAAAACAUAGGUUUCUGCUAAGUCGCAAGACGAUGUAUAGGAGCUGACGCCUGCCCGGUGCUGGAAGGUUAAGGGGAUCUGUUAGAGUAAUCGAAGCAGUGAACUUAAGCCCCAGUAAACGGCGGCCGUAACUAUAACGGUCCUAAGGUAGCGAAAUUCCUUGUCGGGUAAGUUCCGACCCGCACGAAAGGCGUAACGAUUUGGGCACUGUCUCAACAACAGACUCGGUGAAAUUGUAAUUCCGGUGAAGAUGCCGGAUACCUGCGACAGGACGGAAAGACCCCAUGGAGCUUUACUGUAGCUUGACAUUGGGUCUUGGUACUACAUGUACAGGAUAGGUGGGAGGCUUUGAAACCAGGACGCCAGUUUUGGCGGAGCCAUCCUUGGGAUACCACCCUUGUAGUACUGGGACUCUAACCAUAGGCCAUGAAUCUGGUCUUGGGACACUGUCAGGUGGGCAGUUUGACUGGGGCGGUCGCCUCCCAAAGGUAACGGAGGCGCUCAAAGGUUCUCUCAGUACGGUCGGAAAUCGUACGUAGAGUGUAAAGGCAAAAGAGAGCUUGAUUGCAAGCAUACAGGUCGAGCAAGGAUAGAAAAUCGGACUUAGUGAUCCGGGUGGUUCUGCGUGGAAGGGCCAUCGCUCAACGGAUAAAAGCUACCCUGGGGAUAACAGGCUUAUCUCCCCCAAGAGUCCACAUCGACGGGGAGGUUUGGCACCUCGAUGUCGGCUCAUCACAUCCUGGGGCUGUAGUAGGUCCCAAGGGUUGGGCUGUUCGCCCAUUAAAGUGGUACGCGAGCUGGGUUCAGAACGUCGUGAGACAGUUCGGUCCCUAUCCGUCGCAGGCGUAGGAAAUUUGAGAAGACCUGUCCUUAGUACGAGAGGACCGGGAUGGACGUACCUCUGGUGUACCAGUUGUCCUGCCAAGGGCAUGGCUGGGUAGCUAUGUACGGAAUGGAUAAGCGCUGAAAGCAUCUAAGCGCGAAGCCAACUUCAAGAUAAGAUUUCCCACCGCAAGGGUAAGACCCCAGAAAGACUAUCUGGUUGAUAGGUCGAAGGUGUAAGUGCAGCAAUGUAUUUAGCUUAUCGAUACUAAUAGGUCGAGGACUUGACCAA